rnacentral:rRNA from 1 species
GACGAACGCUGGCGGCGUGCUUAACACAUGCAAGUCGAACGGAAAGGCCCUGCUUUUGUGGGGUGCUCGAGUGGCGAACGGGUGAGUAACACGUGAGUAACCUGCCCUUGACUUUGGUAUAACUUCAGGAAACUGGGGCUAAUACCGUAUAGGAGCUCCUGCUGCAUGGUGGGGGUGGGAAAGUUUCGGCGGUUGGGGAUGGACUCGCGGCUUAUCAGCUUGUUGGUGGGGUAGUGGCUUACCAAGGCUUUGACGGGUAGCCGGCCUGAGAGGGUGACCGGCCACAUUGGGACUGAGAUACGGCCCAGACUCCUACGGGAGGCAGCAGUGGGGAAUAUUGCACAAUGGGCGGAAGCCUGAUGCAGCAACGCCGCGUGCGGGAUGACGGCCUUCGGGUUGUAACCCGCUUUCGCAUGUGACGAAGCGUGAGUGACGGUAAUGGGUAAAGAAGCACCGGCUAACUACGUG